UAACUUUGAGUGUAUAUGCACAAAAAAUUUUGAUUUUUUUAGAAAUAAGUAACAUUAUUAAAGUUAA
rnacentral:tRNA from 1 species